GAAUUGCUGGCGGAGCACGUUCAUUUCUGUGAGAUAUGUGGGAAAGGGUUUAAGCGAGAUGCUAAUCUGCGCAUGCACAUGCGCGCCCAUGGAAAUCAGUUCAAAACUCCCGAGGCGCUAGCGAAGCCCGAUAAGGGGAACGAAUCUUCGGCAGCGGCGACGAGGAAAACACGGUUCUCAUGUCCCUUCGAUGGGUGUAAUCGAAACAAGAAGCACAAGAA
rnacentral:misc_RNA from 1 species